rnacentral:pre_miRNA from 2 species
UAGCCUCUACUAGGCUUUGUCUGUGCAUUCGAAAGCCGAUCAGACAUAGCCUAUAAGAGGUUAGG